GAUGAACGCUGGCGGCGUGCCUAACACAUGCAAGUCGAGCGAUGAAGUGGGUGCUUGCCCUCGCGGACUAGUGGCGCACGCGCGAGUAUCACGUGAGUAUCCCGUCCUUUUCUGUCGGAUAACAGCUGGAAAAGGCUGCUAAUACUCGGUAUUCAAGCUGCAUCGCCUGGGUUCGUUUGGGAAGGAUUUUUCUGCGGUUGCUUGGGCUCGGGGCCUAUCCGCUUGUUGGUGGGGUGAAGGUUUACCCAGACAACGGCGCGUAGGCGGACUGGGAGGGUGAGCGGGCAGACGGGAACAGAGACACGGUCCAGACUCCUACGGGAGGCAGGAGGAGGGAAUGUUGCACAAUGGGCGAAAGCCUGACGGAGCAACGCAGCGUGAGUGAUGAAGGUUUUCGGAUCGUAAAGCUCUGUUAUUAGGGAAGAAGAAAAGUGUAAGUAAUUAUGCAUGUGUUGACGGUAGCGAAUGAGAAAGCCCCGGCUAACUACGUG
rnacentral:rRNA from 1 species